CCUACGGGAGGCAGCAGUGAGGAAUAUUGGUCAAUGGACGAGAGUCUGAACCAGCCAAGUAGCGUGAAGGAUGACUGCCCUAUGGGUUGUAAACUUCUUUUAUAAAGGAAUAAAACGAGGCACGUGUGCCUUUUUGCAUGUACUUUAUGAAUAAGGAUCGGCUAACUCAGUGCCAGCAGCCGCGGUAAUACGGAGGAUCCGAGCGUUAUACGGAUUUAUUGGGGUUAAAGGGAGCGUAGAUGGGUUGUUAAGUCAGUUGUGAAAGUUUGCGGCUCAACAGUAAAAUUGCAAUUGAUACUGGCAGUCUUGAGUACAGUUGAGGUAGGCGGAAUGCGUGGUGUAGCGGUGAAAUGCAUAGAUAUCACGCAGAACUCCGAUUGCGAAGGCAGCAUACCGGCGCUCAACUGACGCUCAUGCACGAAAGUGUGGGUAUCGAACAGGAUUAGAUACCCGAGUAGUC
rnacentral:rRNA from 1 species